AAGCGCGCCCUGGGCACUGCCCGCUCCAGGGGCCGGGGCAGGUCGGACAAUGGCCCGCCGCGCGCAGCCUCGCCCGCCUGCCUGCCGGCCGGGGGCAGCGGAGAUGGGGCCCGGGUGCUGCCUUGGGCUUGGACCAGGACAUUUCUAUAAAAGCAAGGAAUUUUUUUUGGACAAUACAAUAACCGAUCCCUGGAGAUACAGAGAAGAAGAUUGAAGAAUCAAGAAAAAUAAGGGACAACAAAGAUGGCUGAAAGCAGCUGCAAAUGUUUCAAGCCUCCCUCCUCCGUCCAAAACGCCAUGUCAGAUAAGGCGGCGAAAAAAACGUACGCGCGAUGAAAUGUUCUCUGAGCUCAUGCAGUCGUCCAGCACUAACAGAGCUCAGCAGAAUGUGUGGAGGGGCACAAUAGCAGAGUACAGGAAAGUGGCCGAUGAAUGUGAGGAGAGGUGGCGGCAGGAAGAUCAGAGGAGGCAUGAGGCAACGCAGGGGCUACUGCGGGAUCAAACGGACAUGCUCCGGCGUCUGGUGGAGGUUCAUGAACAGCAGCAGGAUCACAGACUGCCACUGCAGCCCCUACUUAACCGCCCUCCCUCCUUCCCAAGUUCCAUAACCUCCUCACCCAGACGCCCAAGAACGCAGGGGCGGGGAGGAGGCUCCAGGCACCCAACCACUCCACCCCAGUGGACAGCUCAAGCAACAGAAGUAGGUCAUUCAACAAGUUUUAAAGUGGCCUUUUCCUUCCCUCCUACCAUACCCCACCCGGGCUACCUUGUGAGUUAUCUCCCUAUUUUUAUAAUCAAUUAAUAAAGAAUACAUGUUUUU